GGGGAAUUUUGGACAAUGGGCGAAAGCCUGAUCCAGCGAUGCCGCGUGUGUGAUGAAGGCCUGCGGGUUGUAAAGCACUUUCAGUGGGGAAGAAAUGCUCAAAGCUAAUAUCUUUGAGAGUUGACGUUACCCAAAGAAGAAGCACCGGCUAACUCUGUGCCAGCAGCCGCGGUAAUACAGAGGGUGCAAGCGUUAAUCGGAGUUACUGGGCAUAAAGGGCGCGUAGGCGGAUAUUUAAGUCGGAUGUGAAAUCCCCGGGCUCAACCUGGGAAUUGCAUUCGAUACUGGAUUUCUAGAGUAUGGAAGAGGAAAGUGGAAUUCCCGGUGUAGUGGUAAAAUACGUAGAUAUCGGGAGGAACACCAGUGGCGAAGGCGGCUUUCUGGUCCAAUACUGACGCUGAGGCGCGAAAGCGUGGGGAGCAAAC
rnacentral:rRNA from 1 species